UUUAAGCGCAGUCAUAAGUUUUUUUUCUAACUCUAAUUAUACGUAUUAUUUAAAAUUAUUUUAUGGUUAGUAUUUUUUAUUGUUAUUUUAUAAUAAAACAUAAAUAGUACUUUGUGUCUUAUUUAUAUGUUUUAAAUUUUUUUAAAUAAAACGAACAACUAAAGUUAGACAUGAAAACUCAGGUGUGCGCUUAAA
rfam:Oryza nivara chromosome 2, whole genome shotgun sequence.